rnacentral:lncRNA from 1 species
CAUCUUCCUCUUCACCCAAAAAAAAGAAGAAGCAAAAGUGAAAAACAAAAAUGUCAAUUAUAUGAUAUGAGAAUUCAUUUGAGAUUUUGAUUAUAUGAAAUAAGAGAUCUCAUAUCCGAUAAAGAUUCACAAAGGGUAUGUCUUUUUGAAAUAAAAUUUUAAGAUUCUUAUUUUCAUUUGAUUAAUAAAGCUUUCAAAUAUAUGAAUAAUGUUUGGUGUUCGCAUGUUAUCACAUCUUUGAUCAUCUCUCUUUUUCAUGUUCUUUUGUAUUCUUCUUUAUUUUUAUUGUUAUCUGUUUUAGCUUAGAUACAUUAGAUCUAAAUAUAAAAAAGUUUGAUAAAAUAAAAUAUUAUUUAAACUUCAUAUGAAUCCUUUUACAGAAGAUUUGUUUUCCAGAUUUCCAAAGAACAAUGUUAUCACUACUAAGUUUUAUUGUUGAUAAAAUCUUAACUGACUAUAGGGAAAAGAAAAAAUCUCUCAGCUUGAGUAUAUUUGUAAAAUGACAUUAUUUUUUCAGCGUUCUCUUAUUUUAUUUGAUUUAUAACUAAGUUUAAUUUUAUAUGAUGGGAUGGAUGUACUUUGAUUUAUUUAGUUUUUUUCUAUCAAGUCAUCUGGUUAAAUAUUUAUAAUUUUUUUCUUCAUCUAGGGUAAAUUUGAAUCUAUUUUAGGUUAUGGAUUCAGUAAAUUUAUUUAUAUUCAUUUCUGGUUUUCUUUUUUUUAUGUAGGCUUCGGAUAUGUUCCACGAGAAUGUGUACACAAAUUUGAUUGCGUAAAGGAAGACCUUAAAGCCAGCCAUACAAAUAAAAAAUGUAAGUAUACAAAAGUAUUUAAAAGGUCUUAUUUAAUCUAAUUUAAAGUUUUAAAUUACAUAUAAUUUUGUUCCCAUCAAUGGUUUUACUUCGAUCAUCUCUAUAUACAUAUUUUGUUCUGUAUGAGCACGUUUAUCUUUUCAAUUUUCUUGUUUGAUUAGAGGAAUAACAUGAAAUACUUCUUUGAGGAAUUAUUUAUUCAAGACCUAUACCUCUUCAUUCUCUCGUAUCCGAAUCCCUCACCUUUUAAUGAGUUUGGAAAUGUCGAAGUAGUCCUUAUAAUUUUCUAUAGAAGAAAAUUGAAAAUAGAAAUUCGGCCAAUGAUAAUUAAGCGUUGAUGAACCAAUGAAAAGCAGUUUACCAAAUUUUGGCCAAUGAGAUAUAAGCACAACUAGCCAAUUAGAAACGAGCGUCUAGAAAAUUGACCAAUCAGGAGGGUGUACACGAAUAUUAGGCGCCAAAAAUUUAUCCAAUCAGGAAGAGAUCAGGAACAGGGCUUUGUGGACCAUCUUUAAACCAUCUUUGACCAGCUUCCUCUCCC